CUCUCUUCAUAUCAAUUUCAUCAGGUCAUCAGUCCACGCUCUACCCUUCGAGAACAAACAGAAACGAUUAUCGAUAUGGCUCCAUUGACGCGUUAUCAGAAAGCCAGAAAAAAUAUCCCUAGCAGUGUUGCGUUGGUUGUUUCCCCACAUGGAAAGGCACCGCGACGACUUAAAGGAAAACGUAUCAAGACGGAGCCGUCGGGACCAUAUCCAUCACAAAAUAUCCCUAUGGCUAUUCCUGUGGCUGUUCCCCCAUGUGAAAAGGAGGAGCCGAAAGGAGACGUGGAAAGUGCAAGUUCGGCGCGAAAAAGUUGUUGUGUCGCCCACGUAAAUGGGUUUUGCGUAACCUACACCGACCAGGGCGACGUUUUUCGUGGUUGCGAAUAUUUUCGCGAACGUGAGUUACUUUUAGCUUCAAUGUAUAAAUAGUGUGGCGAUCAACCAGCGUUACAAUAGUACCACUCUUUUAGUUCCACUUUUUUCGUAAAAGGAAAAAGUGGAACUAUUGUAACGCCGCAUAUAUGCAGCGUUACAAUAGUUUCACUUUGUUAGUUCCACUUUCCUUAUACCAGUGGAACUAUGGUAACGUUGCAUAUAUGCAGCGUUACAAUAGUUCCACUUUUUCCCUUUUACGGAAAAAAGUGGAAUUAAAAGAGUGGUACUAUAGUAACGCUGGUUGGCGAUCAUUAGAUUUAACAAUUGACAAUAUUUUUAAAUAAUUUUUUUUGUAGUCAAGUCUUAGAGUAGCCAAUUUUUGUAAGCUUUUUGUCAGUAAUACCAACUUUGUACCAAUAAAGUUUUCCUGUCGUUUUCGACGUAUCAAA